rnacentral:rRNA from 1 species
CGGGGGCUGCUACCAUGCAAGUCGAACGGGCGUAGCAAUACGUCAGUGGCAGACGGGUGAGUAACGCGUGGGAACGUACCUUUUGGUUCGGAACAACUGAGGGAAACUUCAGCUAAUACCGGAUAAGCCCUUACGGGGAAAGAUUUAUCGCCGAAAGAUCGGCCCGCGUCUGAUUAGCUAGUUGGUGAGGUAAUGGCUCACCAAGGCGACGAUCAGUAGCUGGUCUGAGAGGAUGAUCAGCCACAUUGGGACUGAGACACGGCCCAAACUCCUACGGGAGGCAGCAGUGGGGAAUAUUGGACAAUGGGGGCAACCCUGAUCCAGCCAUGCCGCGUGAGUGAUGAAGGCCCUAGGGUUGUAAAGCUCUUUUGUGCGGGAAGAUAAUGACGGUACCGCAAGAAUAAGCCCCGGCUAACUUCGUGCCAGCAGCCGCGGUAAUACGAAGGGGGCUAGCGUUGCUCGGAAUCACUGGGCGUAAAGGGUGCGUAGGCGGGUUUCUAAGUCAGAGGUGAAAGCCUGGAGCUCAACUCCAGAACUGCCUUUGAUACUGGAAGUCUUGAGUAUGGCAGAGGUGAGUGGAACUGCGAGUGUAGAGGUGAAAUUCGUAGAUAUUCGCAAGAACACCAGUGGCGAAGGCGGCUCACUGGGCCAUUACUGACGCUGAGGCACGAAAGCGUGGGGAGCAAACAGGAUUAGAUACCCUGGUAGUCCACGCCGUAACGAUGAAUGCCAGCCGUUAGUGGGUUUACUCACUAGUGGCGCAGCUAACGCUUUAAGCAUUCCGCCUGGGGAGUACGGUCGCAAGAUUAAAACUCAAGGA